AUUAAAAAAAUUCUUUGAACCACUAUUAAAAGUUUAUAUUGUUAUUCCAGAGAGUGAAUUUUGCUAUCCUAAAAUCUUUGUUACCAUAAGACAAUGCUCUUACAAGAGAGAAGAGAAAGGAAUUAAAAACAUAUUUAGGGUUUCCUGUGGCUCAGGCCUUGUUAUUUCUCUGCCUACUGUUUUCUCAUAUGCAGGGUGACAGUAGGAGACAAAAGAAAACAAGUAAUAGAACAGAAUUCAGUUUUGAAAUGAAAGAUUAGCAUCAUUAAGGAAAAUGUUUUUUAGUUUCUGUGUUUUUUUAUUAUAGUAACUUUUAUGAUGGCUUUCCACAGUGGAGACUAAACUAAAAUGUGGGGAGACUUGAAACUGUUCUGGAUGUUGGAUAUACUACCCUGACCACACAUAGAUCCUUUUGGAAAGGACGACAACCUUUAUUGAGUAUUUAAGUAAAUUCUCUGUUGAAUCAUUGGCUAAGCUACAUAGACACAGGGGCAACUCCAGGAAACUAGGCUUUAAAAUAACAAGAAUUAAAGAAAAGCAGAGCAGAGCAGAGACAUUAGUAGCUGCACAUGGUGGAGGAAGACAGAUUUCUAGAGUUGUUAUACCAUAUUAUAUUCACAUAAUAUGUUCUAAGAACUAAAUGAGUUGUGUUUCUAAAAUUAAAGAAAGCAUGGUAACAAUGACUCAACAGAUAAAGGAUUUCAGUAAGGAGUUAGAAAUUAUAGAAAACCAAAUGGGAAUCCUGGAGUUGAGAAGAUGCAAAAAAUGAGAUGAUAAUCUGGCUAGAGCAACUCAAUACUAUAUUGAAGCCAGCGUGAGAAUUAGGGCACUGAUGUGUUGACAAAGGUGCUGAAAAAGAAUGGGUGUCACAGAGAAGAAGAUAAGCUGCUGUGCUGGAGGGAAACUUUGUUGAUUUCAGUUUUCCUGAUGUUUGGCCCUUUAAGUUCAAGUGCAUGUAGACCUGUGGAAACUCCACAGAAAGAUGUAUUCGUAGAAGGCAUUUGCCUACCUGCUGGGUUGGGUUUGCAGUUCUUGAAAGGUUUUCCAUUCCUUAUCAACCCUGCUAACUGUAUGAUUAAGGAGAUUGUUUUUGUUUUUACAAGAUUCGCGCCCCGAGGGAUCAUUUUAUAAAAAAAAAUAAGACAAAAAGGAAGAGUAGGAUGAUUAUAUGUAGUUGGUGAUGAGGUCAUUUAUUGAGGGUUGAAUUUAAUGGAAUGGGAGUCAUAUUAGUUAGGGUUCUCCCUAGAAACAAAACCAGUAUCAUGUGGGAUAUAUGUGUGUGUAUGUGUAUGGUGAGAGAGAGAGACAGAGACAGAGACAGAGAAAGAGAGAAAGAGGGAAGGAGAGAGAUUGAGGUUUCAAGAAAUUGGCUCAUGAUUGUGAAGGCUGGCAAGUCCAAAAUUUAGACACUGAGGGAGGAGUUGCAAUUUCAUUCCAAAGAUAGAAUUCUUUCUUCCCCCAAGGAGGUCAGUUUUUUGUUUUUUUGUUUUUUCAUAUUAAGACUUUCAACUGACUGGAUAAAGCACACUCACAUUAUAGAGCAUAAUCUGCUUAAGAAUCAAACUUUACUGAUUUAAAUAUUAAUCUUAUGUAAAACUACCUUGACAGAAACAUCUAGAAUAUUAUUUGGCCAAAUCUGGUUAUUGUGGCCUAGCCACAUUGACACAAAAUUAAUCACCACAGGGGCAAUGAAUGUAGUCCUGAUUAAAAUAGAAUUUGCCUAUUUAAGAAAAUAUAUCUAUUGUAGACAUUUAUUUUCCUCUUCUCAUUUCUGCUCCUUAAAUUAUUUCACAGAAGAGGAAUCAUUCUAGCAAGAGACUUCUAUAUGUGUGUAUCAUUUGCUGGGUGGUUUUAAGAGUGGUUAUUGAUGAAUAAAUGCAAAGAUACUUUUGAAUUAAGUUCACAAGUCAUUUCAUGGACUGUAACUUCUGUAACUUCUAGCGAGUCUUGUUAUUAUAUAUAAGCUUUCUCUUGCCUGCAUGCUUUUUUCUCUCUUGUUUUAUACCUUUCUUUCUAAUGGAAGAUGAUGGCAGGAAAUACUCAUUUUGUUUUCACUUAUUUGCUGAUCUGAAUAUAAUAAACAACUGUAUGUAGCA